rnacentral:rRNA from 1 species
UACGUAGGGACCAAGCGUUGUUCGGAUUCAUUGGGCGUAAAGGGUGCGUAGGCGGCGGGGUAAGUUUGAUGUGAAAUCCCGGGGCUCAACCCUGGAAUUGCAUUGAAUACUACCUUGCUAGAGUACCGGAGAGGAAACUGGAAUUUACGGUGUAGCAGUGAAAUGCGUAGAGAUCGUAAGGAAGACCAGUGGCGAAGGCGAGUUUCUGGACGGUAACUGACGCUGAGGCACGAAGGCCAGGGGAGCAAACGGG